GCAUAACGCGAAGAACCUUACCAGGCCUUGACAUCCAAUGAACUUUCCAGAGAUGCUUUGGUGCCUUCGGGAACUCUGAGACAGGUGCUGCAUGGCUGUCGUCAGCUCGUGUUGUGAAAUGUUGGGUUAAGUCCCGCAACGAGCGCAACCCUUAUCCUUUGUUGCCAGCGGUUAGGCCGGGAACUCAAAGGAGACUGCCAGUGAUAAACUGGAGGAAGGUGGGGAUGACGUCAAGUCAUCAUGGCCCUUACGAGUAGGGCUACACACGUGCUACAAUGGCGCAUACAAAGAGAAGCGACCUCGCGAGAGCAAGCGGACCUCAUAAAGUGCGUCGUAGUCCGGAUUGGAGUCUGCAACUCGACUCCAUGAAGUCGGAAUCGCUAGUAAUCGUAGAUCAGAAUGCUACGGUGAAUACGUUCCCGGGUCUUGUACACACCG
rnacentral:rRNA from 1 species